AAUUAUGUUUGAGCAUUGGAUAUUAGAUCAAAUGAGUUUAAACUGGACAAAUUUACAAAAGUUUUCUGGAAAUAUGAACUUUUAAACAUGUGUAUUUCAUGAUUCAGUGAAAAUGGAGGGAACUACAUGUAUAUCAUUGUAUAUAUAACCAUUUCUAACAGUUGCAAACUUUCAAGUCUUGGAGUCACAUGAGAUGUUUCCUCUCAAGGAUAUCAGAUCAGGGAAAAUGAAUAAAUGUACUGUUGAAUACAGAAUGCUUACAGAACUAUCCUGUAUCCAUCAGAGAGGUCACACCACAAGUCAAGAAGAUGUUGCAUCAUGCGAAGUGAAGGAUAUAUACAUGUGUUCUAGAUGGAUGUUAAAUUACAUUUGUUUGAAUAAAACACUCUGACUUCAAAAUAAUUGUGAAAUGUGCAAAUUACUAUAAGUGUUUGAAUUCUUGAUGACUAGAGUGCUUUUUUGGAUAUGCUAAUAAAAACAUAUUAAAUGCAAAUUAAAAGGUCAUUUAAUUUUAUUAUGCAACCAUCAUUUCAGUAAUCCCAAAAUGUUCCAGAGUGAAUUCCAUAGUAUUUCCAGAAUUAUUUCAAGGCUAAUGGCAUCUUACCCCAUAUCCUAUUUUUAACUGCGGAACUUUUUCCACAGCGGCUCCGGAACAUUUUCCACAGUAACUCCGGAACAUUUUCCAGAGUAACUCCGGAACAUUUUCCAGAGUAACUGCGGAACAUUUUCCAGAGUAACUCUGGAACAUUUUCCAGAGUCACUCCAGAACAUUUUUUCCGGAGUAGAAUGUCAUUUUAGCAGAAUAAUUUCCAGAGUUGCUUUGAAGACUCUGGAACAUUUUCAUGGAAAACUCCGGAAAAGUUUCAUGAAAAAAGCUCUGGAAAUUCAUGGAGAAAGUACAUGAAAAUUCACGAUUUUUUUUCAGUUUUCUUUGAACAACUCCGGAAAACUAGUCCGAAUUAUCCAGAGUUGGCAAUUUCCAUGAAAAUUCCGGAAGUUUUCAUGGAAAUUCAUGGAAAAUGUACGGAC